rnacentral:lncRNA from 1 species
ACAAUUCUUACGACUAGGUAGUGUGUUACUCUGUUGUAGGAUGUAACACCUGAGUCGGUGUAUUAAAUUUUAUCCUUGACAAGUAAUAAAAUUUUACAAUGUUUUGGAGGAUCUGUGAAGGAAAUUCCACCUAUUUCUAUAUGAAAGAUAUUUGGAAAAAAAAUUAUUUCACAUUUUCAAAAUGGUGUUGCUUCCGUAAUAUAUCAUUUCUUCACUUGUCUACUUAUUAUAAUUUUGUUGAGUCAUGGUGUUACAAGUGAACUAACUUCUUUACCUGCACUUCUUCAUGAAAGUGCAAGAGCCCUUGAUUUUUUUCCACUAGAUCCUGGUUGUGAUGCACUGGCUCUUGCCCUUUUGACACUAUAAUCGGGCGAUACAACAUUGCUUCUGAGAAACGACCUAGCGUUAGCAUUAUCACAUCGUUUGUGAAGAAGAUCUUCCUUCUGACCUCGAUACGGUUUUGAUGAAGACACCGAGAUCACCAAAAAGAAGUAAAAGGAAGAAUACCUUAAAGACAUAGAAGAUCAAGC